GCUGCGAGCAAAGAACCAUGUAUCUUAUAUUACCACUUUAUUUCUACAGACAAUUGUACUAGUUCAAAUUUCAACAAUUUACGAGUAGAGUUUGGUUUGGGACACUGAUUGUAGUGUAUUUCUACUGACAAUGUCGACAGUUGGCUUUUCUUUUAUUGUCAUUAAAACAUAUUGAAUAUAUACACAUUUUUAUGUAAUUUUUUUGUAGAUCGCAUCGAAACAACGCGUUUUUAUCGGCAAUUAAUUUGUUUUGUGUGUUUUAUUGUUAAAAAGGUGAUUAUUUAUUAAAUAUAUAAACAAAAUGAGUAAAAGAAAUUAUAAAAGAUUAAUUAAAAAACAAAAAAUAUUGUAUAAAAACAGAAGUUUGCAAUGUGAACAAGAAAAUAGUGAAAGUGAAUUUGUGUCAAACGGUGGAGAUUUUAUAAAUGAUUUCGUGGAAAAUGGAAUGGAAGAUUUUGCAGUUCCGAAAUUAAUGUUGCGGGACAAACUUAAAAAGUGGUGCAUGGAAACGAAUCCUUCAAAGAAAUGUUUGGAAAGUCUUUUAUCAAUAUUAAAGGAAGAAGGUCUAGAUGUUCCGCUCACUAGAGAGACUUUGGUGGGCAGAGCAAAAAAUAUGUUAACGAGAAAUGUUGCCCCUGGAAUUUAUUGUCAUAUUGGCAUAGAAACACAACUACGAAAAGUUGGUCACAUUUUGGAAAAGUAUGAGGAAGUCGAACUAGAUAUAAAUAUCGAUGGAAUUCCACUGUUCAAAAGCUCUCGUGUGCAAUUGUGGCCAAUCCUUUGCAGAAUCGUUAAUAUUCAGGAGAAAACAAAACCGUUUGUUGUUGGAUUAUACUUGGGAAACACCAAGCCGGGUAGUGUGAAUGUGUAUUUGAAAGACUUCAUUGAUGAAGUGAUUCUACUAAAAGGUCAGUUUAUCAUACAACAAAAACAUUUAAAAUUGAAGUUUCGUUGCUUAAUAUGUGACGCACCAGCAAAAGCUUUCGUUUGUGGAGUUCCUGGACAUACAUCAACACAUGGCUGCACCAAGUGUACUCAAAUUGCGAAGAAGGUAAACAAUGUCUUGACUUAUAGUAGCGAGAGUGGUUCCCUAAUCUCCGAUGAGGACUUUGCUGUGCGAAAGUAUCCAUGCCACCAUUCCCAAAUGUUCAAAGAAGAAAAAACUCCUCUCGAAGAAAUUGGAUUUGGUAUGAUAAAUCAGACUCCUUUAGAUAGCAUGCAUCUCAUUGACCUCGGAGUCACCAAAAAAAUGCUAACCAGAAUAAUGCAUAAUAAAACUGAAAAGAAAACCUCAAAACAAAAUAUUUCAAAAAUAUCUUCUGAAUUGGUGAAAUUUAAAAAAUACAUUCCAAGGGAAUUCCCAAGAAAACCCAGGCCUUUAGAUGAUCUUUGUCAUUGGAAAGCGACUGAAUUUCACCAGUUCCUUGCUUAUACAGGAAUUAUUGCUCUUUAUAAUAAUGUACACGAAGAUAUUUAUUAUGAAUUUUUAACUUUACAUUGUGCUUAUCGACUUCUUAACAAUGCACGACAUAUGGAUCAAAAUAUUGUUCAAGCUAAUAAUUUGCUUCAAUUAUUUGUCGAGAACUUCUCAACUGUAUUUGGUUCGAACAGCAUUUCUUUUAACGUUCAUAAUCUGCUUCAUUUGGCUUCUUGCGCAGAAAAGUAUGGUCCCCUUAUUUCGUUUUCUGCAUAUGCAUUUGAAAAUAAACUGCAAACACUGAAAAAACAUGUUCGAAAACCAUCACAUAUCUUUCAACAAAUUAUUCAAAAGGAAAAAAAUUGCAUGAUUGUCAACACUAUUCAGGAUGGGUUAAAAUAUGAAAAAGGUGUUAUCGUUGGAGCUUUUGUAAAUGAUUGCUACAUAUCCUGCAAAGAACCAGAUAAUAUUUGCGCGGUGAAUUCAUGCAUUCCAAUAAAAAUUGAUAAUAUAAAGAAAAAGGGCGAAAUAUAUAUUGAAGGCAGUCGAAUUUUGGCAUUAGAAAGUUUCUACGAAGAACCGGUGAAUUCUUGUGAGAUUGGUAUUUUCAAAACGAAUCUGACUCUAGGGGAAAAAGAGACAUUUUGUAUUAAAGACAUUCAGUUCAAAUUUGUAUGCUUGCCAAUUGAUUCUGAUUUUGUAAUCGUGCCCAUUUUACAUUCCUGCUUUCCAGAGAAAUAUCAAGCACAAAUUUUUACCUCCUAAGUACACAACUCCCGCACAUAAACAUGUCGAACGAAAAUGCCAACCCUUCCAAAGGAAAAAUGAAAUAUUUUGCUCCACAAGGUAAUCUCCAAAGAUUAUCACUAAAUUUUUAACAGUAUAACAAAAUUGAGUUCAUAUUUUUGAUAGCUAAUGCAAAAUGUUCUUCCUGCCAAGAAAAUGCCAGAAAACUAGACACGAUUAUUGAUAUUUUGGCGGAGCAUAAAGUUUUACUGGAUCGUGUUAUUUCUCAGAACGCAUUUGUGGACAAUAUUAUGACAAUUUUUCCAAUUGAAUCGGAAGAAAAACUUCGAGAAUUUGAUCGAAUUCUCGCAACACAAGCAGAUCUAUAUGUACGUAUCUGCGUUUUGGGAAUAACAAAUUCAUAACUAAAACAAUUUUUACAAUUGCAGACUCGACAAAUGAAAAAUCUCAUUGCAGGUAACGCUGAACGUAAUUUGCAUAAAGUAUUUGGAAGAAAUAUUAUUAUGGAUUUUAAUGUUGACGGAACUUUCGGGAAAAAAGGUCUACGAGAUUUUGGUAAUGUACUUGCCGCCAUAAUAGAAGUUAUAUCAACAUUUAAUAAAUUACCUGACAAGACUUUACGAGCAGCGUUCCAACGCCAAAAGAAAAAGUAUUUUAAGAUCAACAAACGAAGCAGGCGCACCGAAGAAAAGGAACAAGAUGAAAAUGAUGAAGAACCACAAAUUUAACUGAAUGUUUUUAUGUUAUACUAUAUAAUUUUAAAAUCCUAGUUCUAACACUAUUCAGUUUUAUUAAAAAUAAGACAAGGUUUGGCCAGCCUUGAAAAAAGUGAGCUAUAUAUGUAA